rnacentral:tRNA from 1 species
GCGGGUAUAGAUUAAAGGAAAAUUGUCUGCCUUCCAAGCAGAGGAUAUGGGUUCAAUUCCCAUUACCCGCA